GACGAACGCUGGCGGCGUGCUUAACACAUGCAAGUCGAACGGUGACCCAGGGCUUGCCCUGGUGAUCAGUGGCGAACGGUGAGUAACACGUGGGCAACCUGCCCCUGACUUCGGGAUAACUCCUCGAAAGAGGAGCUAAUACCGGAUACGACCACUUCGGACAUCCGAUGGUGGUGGAAAGUUUUUCGGUCAGGGAUGGGCCCGCGGCCUAUCAGCUAGUUGGUGGGGUAAUGGCCUACCAAGGCGACGACGGGUAGCCGGCCUGAGAGGGCGACCGGCCACACUGGGACUGAGACACGGCCCAGACUCCUACGGGAGGCAGCAGUGGGGAAUAUUGCGCAAUGGGCGAAAGCCUGACGCAGCGACGCCGCGUGAGGGAUGAAGGCCUCGGUUGUAACC
rnacentral:rRNA from 1 species